UACGUAGGGUGCAAGCGUUGUCCGGAAUUAUUGGGCGUAAAGAGCUCGUAGGCGGUCUGUCGCGUCUGCUGUGAAAUCUCAGGGCUUAACCCUGAGCUUGCAGUGGGUACGGGCAGACUAGAGUGCGGUAGGGGAGACUGGAAUUCCUGGUGUAGCGGUGAAAUGCGCAGAUAUCCACAGGAACUCCGGUGGCGAAGGCGGCACGCUGGACCUUCACUGACGCUGAGGCGCGAAAGCCAGGGGAGCAAACGGG
rnacentral:rRNA from 1 species